CACGCCGUAAACGAUGAUUACUCGCUGUUGGCGAUACACUGUCAGCGGCUAAGCAAAAGCAAUAAGUAAUCCACCUGGGGAGUACGGCCGCAAGGCUGAAACUCAAAGGAAUUGACGGGGGCCCGCACAAGCGGAGGAACAUGUGGUUUAAUUCGAUGAUACGCGAGGAACCUUACCUGGGCUUAAAUGUAGAGUGCAUUUUCUAGAGAUAGGAAUUCCCUUCGGGGCUAUCUGCAAGGUGC
rnacentral:rRNA from 1 species